UGGGGAAUAUUGCACAAUGGACGGAAGUCUGAUGCAGCAACGCCGCGUGCGGGAUGACGGCCUUCGGGUUGUAAACCGCUUUUUCUCAUGACGAAGUUUUUUGACGGUAGUGGGGGAAGAAGCACCGGCUAACUACGUGCCAGCAGCCGCGGUGAUACGUAGGGUGCGAGCGUUGUCCGGAAUUAUUGGGCGUAAAGAGCUUGUAGGCGGUUUGUCGCGUCGAUAGUGCAAACUCAGUGCUUAACGCUGAGCCUGCUGUUGAUACGGGCAGACUAGAGGAAGGUAGGGGAGAAUAGAAUUCCCGGUGGAGCGGUGGAAUGCGCAGAUAUCGGGAGGAACACCGGUGGCGAAGGCGGUUCUCUGGGCCUUUCCUGACGCUGAGAAGCGAAAGCGUGGGGAGCGAACAGG
rnacentral:rRNA from 1 species